UUUGUUGUGUUUUUUUUUUUUGAAGUCGUGUUUUUUUUUUGUUUUUUUUUGGCUUCUUCUUUUCGUUUUUCAGACAGAGAUCCAUAUGUAAACACUGAAAAACGUAAAGAAAAGAAAAGA
rnacentral:ribozyme from 1 species